CACGGACCAAGGAGUCUAGCAUGUGCGCGAGUCAUUGGGAACAACUUAAACCUAAAGGCGCAAUGAAAGUAAAGGUCAGCCCAGCGCUGACCGAGGGAAGAUGGGCGGUCACGGAUUCCGUGCCGCUCCGCACUCCCGGGGCGUCUCAUUCUCAUUGCGAGAAGAGGCGCACCAAGAGCGUACACGCUGGGACCCGAAAGAUGGUGAACUAUGCCUGGUCAGGACGAAGUCAGGGGAAACCCUGAUGGAGGUCCGUAGCGAUUCUGACGUGCAAAUCGAUCGUCGGAACUGGGUAUAGGGGCGAAAGACUAAUCGAACCAUCUAGUAGCUGGUUCCCUCCGAAGUUUCCCUCAGGAUAGCUGGCGCUCGUCGCCUACGAGUCUCAUCCGGUAAAGCGAAUGAUUAGAGGCAUUGGGGUCGAAACGGCCUCAACCUAUUCUCAAACUUUAAAUGGGUGAGAUCUCCGGCUUGCUCGAACUUAUGAAGCCGCGAGACACGGAUCAGAGUGCCAAGUGGGCCAUUUUUGGUAAGCAGAACUGGCGCUGUGGGAUGAACCAAACGCCGAGUUAAAGCGCCUAAAUCGACGCUUAUGGGAUACCAUGAAAGGCGUUGGUAACUUAAGACAGCAGGACGGUGGCCAUGGAAGUCGGAAUCGC
rnacentral:rRNA from 1 species